rfam:Gossypium raimondii Chr10_contig_36, whole genome shotgun sequence.
UGCUAAAAUUUUCAUUUAUCUGUAGUGUUAAAAACUAAUAUGUCUAACGGAAUAACCCGACAAUGACGCGCAACAUGCCAUUUGUAUCUUAUGCUAACAUACAGAGACUAUUUUUUAAUUGUAAAAAUAGAUAAAAUUUUUAACA